UUAAGGAGAUAAUAAAAUUUACAAAGUGAUAAAGUCAUUUAUUAUACAAAGGAGAGAAAUAUGUUAAAAAUUGUCAAAUUUAUUUAUGCUAUAUUUAUCUUUUAUUUCAUAAUUUUAGUUCCAACGAACGUAAAUGGUAAGCCAUUUUUUAUUUUUUAAAUUCUAUAAUUUACUUCUUACACACAGUAUAUUAUCCUAUUUUUAUUACAUUUUUUUUUUCUCAAAUUACAACAGGCUAUACCUGCAGAACACAUUAUGAGUGUCUAAACAAGCGUUGUAUCAAGCCUGAAGGACCGAGGUGUGUCAAUGGCCAUUGUAAAUGUGCUUAACUGAUAUUGCACAUAGGUCCUGUACCCAAAUAAUUUAUAUUUAGCGUAUGUUUGGUUUUGUGAAAAGAAAGUGGAAGGAAAAAAAUUAUGAUCAUCGAUGGAUGAACUUAGACUAACUCUAAUUCAAGUUCAUUUAUCGGUUUUCGUAAUUUUCUUUCCUUCUACUUUCUUUCAUUCAAAGUGUACUCCUAUGAAUGUCUUGCUAGAAUAUUCUAUGGGUGUACGUCAUUUAUUUAUUGCGUUGGUAUCAAAUAAUUAAUGUUUUCUCUACUUUUUUCUAAUUUCAAGAACCUUGU
rnacentral:lncRNA from 1 species